GAUGAACGCUGGCGGCGUGCCUAAUACAUGCAAGUCGAGCGAACAGACGAGGAGCUUGCUCCUCUGACGUUAGCGGCGGACGGGGGAGUAACACGUGGAUAACCUAUCUAUAAGACUGGGAUAAAUUCGGGAAACCGGAGCUAAUACCGGAUAAUAUAUUGAACCGCAUGGUUCAAUAGUGAAAGACGGUUUUGCUGUCACUUAUAGAUGGAUCCGCGCCGCAUUAGCUAGUUGGUAAGGUAACGGCUUACCAAGGCGACGAUGCGUAGCCGACCUGAGAGGGUGAUCGGCCACACUGGAACUGAGACACGGUCCAGACUCCUACGGGAGGCAGCAGUAGGGAAUCUUCCGCAAUGGGCGAAAGCCUGACGGAGCAACGCCGCGUGAGUGAUGAAGGUCUUCGGAUCGUAAAGCUCUGUUAUUAGGGAAGAACAAAUGUGUAAGUAACUAUGCACGUCUUGACGGUACCUAAUCAGAAAGCCACGGCUAACUACGUG
rnacentral:rRNA from 1 species